rnacentral:rRNA from 1 species
UACGUAGGGUGCGAGCGUUGUCCGGAAUUACUGGGCGUAAAGAGCUCGUAGGUGGUUUGUCGCGUUGUCCGCGAAAUUCCCUGGCUUAACUGGGGGCGUGCGGGCGAUACGGGCAGACUGGAGUACUGCAGGGGAGACUGGAAUUCCUGGUGUAGCGGUGGAAUGCGCAGAUAUCAGGAGGAACACCGGUGGCGAAGGCGGGUCUCUGGGCUGAGAUUGACGCUCAGGCACGAAAGCGUGGGGAGCAAACAGG